AGACGGCGGCCCAGCAGAGGAGCGGAAAGCGUGGUCCGCGGGGCGGCGGACGCCUGGUAGGCGCUCGGGCCGCUGUUGUGGGGCUGCGCGCUGGCGCUGCAGGGCGGGAUGCUGUACCCAAGAGAGAGGCCGUCGCGGGAGCGGAAGAAGCUGGACCGCCUCUGGAGCUUCCGCGCCGACUUCUUCGACAAACUGUGCCUUGGCUUCUAGGAGUAGUGGUAUCGGCGUCUGCUGCGAGAGUCGGGCUCCACCCUGGACAUACCGGUUCCCUCCAGCUUCAACGACGUUGGCCAGGACUGGCGGCUGCGGCAUUUUGUAGACCAGAUGUGGUACGAACGGGAGGUGACCCUCCUGGAGCAGUGGACCCAGGACCUGCACACAAGAGUGGUACUGAGGAUUGUCAGUACCCACUCCUAUGCCAUCGUGUGGGUGAAUGGGGUCGACACGCUAGAGCAUGAGGGAUCUACCUCCACUUUGACACCGACAUCAGUAGCCUGUUCCAGGUGGGGCCCCUGCCCUCCCGCCUCCGCAUCACUAUCACCAUCGACAACAUGCUCAUCCCCUCCACCCUGCCACCAGGGAGCAUCCUCGACAUGGCCGACACCUCCACGUGGGUACCAUCCUGCUUCCCCCGCAGACACCCACCUUCCUGUCCCACCCCGUGGGGCAUUACAUUAGGGUAAUUACAUUAGUGUCAAGAUAUGCCAUAAUACCGAGAAUGGAGGAGUCUGAGGCCCUGGUCCAUCAACUGACAGCAUGAACUUCACGUCAAGAAGUGAGAUUGGUGAAUAAGUGAAGAGAGAAGGAAAAUUGGAGAUACAGCUGGAUGUAUGAACCCUGCUCUGAAAACACUCUUUAACGAGUUAGGGUCUUGCUCUGUCGCUCAGGCUGGAGUGCAGUGGCAUGAUCAUGGGUCACUGCAGCCUUGAACUCCUGGGCUUAAGGGAUCUUCUCAUCUCAGUCUCCUAAAUAGCUGGGACUACAGGCUCAGGCCACCAUGCCUG
rnacentral:antisense_RNA from 1 species